GUUGCUGCAGAAUAGCAAGUCCAUCACUCACAAUGGCCAGAAAUCAGAACAAAUGAUCAUUACAAACAACCCAUGUAGACAGUUUUUCUAUCGUAGGGCAGUGAUUUUUGAGUCCAUAGAUGGGCCAGUAGGAAGUCUGCACUGAAAUCAGCAUUGUGCCUGAUACUGAGAGGAAUAAAGUUGAUAGGAAGGAGCAAUCAGAAAGCUUUGGCUGAAAAGAAUGAUUUAAACCACUGGAGAAAA
rnacentral:lncRNA from 1 species